GGUGGCUCAGUGGUAAAGCGCUUGCUUUGCAUGCAUGAGACCCUGGGUUCGAUUCCUCAGCACCA
rnacentral:tRNA from 1 species